GGGCAUAUGGUGUAGGGGUUAUCACGUUCGCUUUGCAUAUCCAGGAUCUUUAUGUUUGCGAAAGGUCUCCGGUUCAAAUCCGGAUUUGUCCA